rnacentral:rRNA from 1 species
GUGGGGAAUUUUGGACAAUGGGCGCAAGCCUGAUCCAGCAAUGCCGCGUGCAGGAAGAAGGCCUUCGGGUUGUAAACUGCUUUUGUACGGAACGAAACGGUCCUGGUUAAUACCUGGGGCUAAUGACGGUACCGUAAGAAUAAGCACCGGCUAACUACGUGCCAGCAGCCGCGGUAAUACGUAGGGUGCGAGCGUUAAUCGGAAUUACUGGGCGUAAAGCGUGCGCAGGCGGUGCUGUAAGACAGGCGUGAAAUCCCCGGGCUCAACCUGGGAAUUGCGCUUGUGACUGCAGGGCUGGAGUACGGCAGAGGGGGAUGGAAUUCCGCGUGUAGCAGUGAAAUGCGUAGAUAUGCGGAGGAACACCGAUGGCGAAGGCAGUCCCCUGGGCCUGUACUGACGCUCAUGCACGAAAGCGUGGGGAGCAAACAGGAUUAGAUACCCUGGUAGUCC